rnacentral:tRNA from 3 species
GGGCGGGUAGUUUCAUUUGGUUAAAACAUAAGUCUCCAAAACUUAAGUAAUGGGUUCGAACCCCAUCCUGCCUA